rnacentral:tRNA from 1 species
CGCGGGGUGGAGCAGUUGGCAGCUCGUCGGGCUCAUAACCCGAAGGUCACAGGUUCAAAUCCUGUCCCCGCAACCA